UAUGAAGCUGGAGUUACUAGUAAUCGCAGAUCAGAAUGCUGCGGUGAAUGCGUUCCCGGGUCUUGUACACACCGCCCGUCACACCACGGAAGUUGGGGCGCCCGAAGCCACUUAGCUAACCCUUUUGGGAAGCGAGUGUCGAAGGUGAAAUCAAUAACUGGGGUGAAGUCGUAACAAGGUAAC
rnacentral:rRNA from 1 species